rnacentral:rRNA from 1 species
AAAAAAGGUAAGCUACUAAGAGCGAAUGGUGGAUGCCUUGACUGGUAAAGGCGAUGAAGGACGUACUAGACUGCGAUAAGCUACGGGGAGCUGUCAAGAAGCUUUGAUCCGUAGAUUUCCGAAUGGGGCAACCCAAUGUAUAGAGAUAUACAUUACCUAUAUAGGAGCGAACGAGGGGAAUUGAAACAUCUUAGUACCCUCAGGAAAAGAAAUCAAUAGAGAUUGCGUCAGUAGCGGCGAGCGAAAGCGCAAGAGGGCAAACCCAGUGCUUGCACUGGGGGUUGUAGGACUGCAAUGUGCAAGAGCUGAGUUUAGCAGAACAUUCUGGAAAGUAUAGCCAUAGAGGGUGAUAGUCCCGUAUGCGAAAAACAAAGCUUAGCUAGCAGUAUCCUGAGUAGGGCGGGACACGAGGAAUCCUGUCUGAAUCCGGGUCGACCACGAUCCAACCCUAAAUACUAAUACCAGAUCGAUAGUGCACAAGUACCGUGAGGGAAAGGUGAAAAGAACUGAGGUGAUCAGAGUGAAAUAGAACCUGAAACCAUUUGCUUACAAUCAUUCAGAGCACUAUGUAGCAAUACAGUGUGAUGGACUGCCUUUUGCAUAAUGAGCCUGCGAGUUGUGGUGUCUGGCAAGGUUAAGCAAACGCGAAGCCGUAGCGAAAGCGAGUCUGAAUAGGGCGCUUAGUCAGAUGCUGCAGACCCGAAACGAAGUGAUCUAUCCAUGAGCAAGUUGAAGCUAGUGUAAGAACUAGUGGAGGACUGAACCCAUAGGCGUUGAAAAGCCCCGGGAUGACUUGUGGAUAGGGGUGAAAGGCCAAUCAAACUUCGUGAUAGCUGGUUCUCUCCGAAAUAUAUUUAGGUAUAGCGUUGUGUCGUAAUAUAAGGGGGUAGAGCACUGAAUGGGCUAGGGCAUACACCAAUGUACCAAACCCUAUCAAACUCCGAAUACCUUAUAUGUAAUCACAGCAGUCAGGCGGCGAGUGAUAAAAUCCGUCGUCAAGAGGGAAACAACCCAGACUACCAGCUAAGGUCCCUAAAUCUUACUUAAGUGGAAAACGAUGUGAAGUUACUUAAACAACCAGGAGGUUGGCUUAGAAGCAGCCAUCCUUUAAAGAAAGCGUAAUAGCUCACUGGUCUAGUGAUUUUGCGCGGAAAAUAUAACGGGGCUAAAGUAAGUACCGAAGCUGUAGACUUGCGCACAACUUAGAUUAUUUAAGUUUAGAAUAUGAGAAACUAAGUUAUAUUUUUACUGAUUUUUAUAGAGUAAAGAUAGAAAUAAAACUUAGUAAAAUCAGUAAAAAUAUUCUUAGGCUAAAGUUAAGUAGUUUAAGUUGUGUGCAAGUGGUAGGAGAGCGUUCUAUUUGCGUCGAAGGUAUACUGGUAAGGAGUGCUGGAGCGAAUAGAAGUGAGCAUGCAGGCAUGAGUAGCGAUAAUUAAUGUGAGAAUCAUUAACGCCGUAAACCCAAGGUUUCCUACGCGAUGCUCGUCAUCGUAGGGUUAGUCGGGUCCUAAGUCGAGUCCGAAAGGGGUAGACGAUGGCAAAUUGGUUAAUAUUCCAAUACCAACAUUAGUGUGCGAUGGAAGGACGCUUAGGGCUAAGGGGGCUAGCGGAUGGAAGUGCUAGUCUAAGGUCGUAGGAGGUUAUACAGGCAAAUCCGUAUAACAAUACUCCGAGAACUGAAAGGCUUUUUGAAGUCUUCGGAUGGAUAGAAGAACCCCUGAUGCCGUCGAGCCAAGAAAAGUUUCUAAGUUUAGCUAAUGUUGCCCGUACCGUAAACCGACACAGGUGGGUGGGAUGAGUAUUCUAAGGCGCGUGGAAGAACUCUCUUUAAGGAACUCUGCAAAAUAGCACCGUAUCUUCGGUAUAAGGUGUGGUUCGCUUCGUAUUAGGAUUUACUCCGAAAGCGAAGAAACUUACAACAAAGAGUCCCUCCCGACUGUUUACCAAAAACACAGCACUCUGCUAACUCGUAAGAGGAUGUAUAGGGUGUGACGCCUGCCCGGUGCUCGAAGGUUAAUUGAUGGGGUUAGCAUUAGCGAAGCUCUUGAUCGAAGCCCGAGUAAACGGCGGCCGUAACUAUAACGGUCCUAAGGUAGCGAAAUUCCUUGUCGGUUAAAUACCGACCUGCAUGAAUGGCGUAACGAGAUGGGAGCUGUCUCAAAGAGGGAUCCAGUGAAAUUGUAGUGGAGGUGAAAAUUCCUCCUACCCGCGGCAAGACGGAAAGACCCCGUGGACCUUUACUACAGCUUGACACUGCUAUUUGGAUAAGAAUGUGCAGGAUAGGUGGGAGGCUUUGA